rnacentral:tRNA from 3 species
GCGGGUGUAGCUCAAUGGUAGAGCAGCAGCUUCCCAAGCUGAAUGCGAGGGUUCGAUUCCCUUCACCCGCUCCA